GAUGAACGCUGGCGGCGUGCCUCAAACAUGCAAGUCGAGCGAGGCUAUGAAUUACCGCAAGGUAAGGCAUAGCCUAGCGGCGAACGGGUGAGUAACACGUGGGUAACCUACCUGGAAGACAGGGAUAACGAUUCGAAAGGGUCGCUAAUACCUGAUAAUAUCCAUCUGCCGGAUGGCGGAGGGAGGAAAGGGGAAACCCGCUUUCAGAUGGGCCCGCGUCCCAUCAGCUAGUUGGUAAGGUAAAGGCUUACCAAGGCGACGACGAGUAGCCGGUCUGAGAGGGUGUACGGCCACACUGGGACUGAGAUACGGCCCAGACUCCUACGGGAGGCAGCAGUUGGGAAUCUUAGGCAAUGGACGAAAGUCUGACCUAGCGACGCCGCGUGAGGGAAGAAGGCCUUCGGGUUGUAAACCUCUGUCAUGGGGGAAGAAGGAAGUGACGGUACCCCAAGAGGAAGCCCCUGCUAACUACGUG
rnacentral:rRNA from 1 species